rnacentral:piRNA from 1 species
CGGUCGUCGCCACUUCGGAGGAAUC